rnacentral:sRNA from 1 species
AAUGGGACUGAAAUGUUCAAACUUGCUUUUUAUGGUAUAGCGGAUAUCUCAUUCUAAUCUAGCCUUAUUCAGCCAAAUCAAGGGCUUAGGGCUAAAUCCGCGCUUAGUCAUACCCCACUCGCAAUUUCGCACCUUGGUUCCUCUUCAGAAGUUCGUGAAGGUCGUUGAACACCUCGUCGUCGACAACCACCGCACACACCACCCAACAUGGCACCCGCAGCAAGCUCCGGCGGCAAGAAGCAGAAGAAGAAGUGGUCCAAGGGCAAAGUCAAGGACAAGGCUAACCAUGCCGUUGUCCUCGACAAGGCCACUUCCGAGAAGCUCUACAAGGAUGUGCAGUCCUACCGCCUCAUCACCGUCGCUACCCUCGUCGACAGACUGAAGAUCAACGGCAGCUUGGCCCGGCAAGCCCUCGCCGACCUGGAGGAGAAGGGCCAAAUCAAGAAGGUUGUUGGUCACUCAAAGAUGAACAUCUACACCCGCGCCGUUACCGCAGCCGAGUAAACGAAUUUCUCCGAACCAUUUUCCGGUUCCUCUUCUGUCCCCGGGGUUUUGCGUUCGUCAAAAUGGUGUUCUUGAAUUUCCAUCUGAAUAUUCUUGUCUUUAUCAAUUUCCCCCCUUCUGUUCCAUGUUUAGCUCGUCGUCAUGAGUGUAUGGAUAUAAAAAGAAAUAAAAACGAUUAUAUCUGCAUUGUGGAGACAAGGAUCCAGAAUUUCCAAGUAAACAAACGUGGCCCGGGUUUUCUGCCGUAUGGGAAUCGGGCUGCUGGUUUAUACGCCCUCGAUUGUAGCCCAUAUCGUGCUAGAUAACUUCAGUAUAUGCCAUCAAAAUUUCCCAAUAGAAUCAAUUCUCAAGCGAUGUUCUCCGUGGGGAUAUUUCCUUUGAGGCCGAUGUUUGUUUCCAAGGUUCGCUUUCGGAGGGCUGAAUGUAAUAUAAUCCUCCAAGAACGCCAUUUGAUACCUACUUGAUUUACUUCGACCAUAACCUCCACAAUCUCCCUGAUGGACUCUAGUACAGUAGCUUGCAAACAACGUAACUCCAUAAACAACCACAGCCAACAUAUCGUGAAAUGCACUUUUCAUAGCUGGAGACCUUCACACACAAACCCCAAAUUCACCUUAGCACAAAUUCACCAAAUUGCUCUGGAAAUUUCACUAGAUAAAUCUCCAUAUACCUAUCUAUCAUAUUAUCCGAACCCAAGAAGCCGCCACACCGCCACAGCUCACGAACCCUCUACAACUUAUCAUCCACCUGCGCACUUUUCGCAGCAUUAAGCUUCGAUCUCAACGGCCUCAUCUUCUGCGCCGCCUGGCACAACUCCCUCUCCGGCCCCUGCAUCAACUUCUCAAUCCCAACAACCCUGCCAACCUGCACAUAUUUUUGAUGGUUGGCGAAAAACUCCUUCCAAUGCAUCACCUGUUUCGACACACUCUCCACCGCGGCAUUCCACUCCUCCUUGCGCCGCGCCUGCUUCUGCUUCUUGCUCAUCGCCAGCUCGAGGGGGUUCUCAUCGUCGUCUUCGACGGGGAUGUACAUGAGUUCGACGCCGCGAAUGUCCGGUGUGCGGUCCUCCGAGAAGCAGCCAGUGACGUAAGCGCGCGUGGCGUCGGCACCGGCGAAGCUGUUGUAGCUGCCGCCCUUACCGUAGAUACGCGGGUUCGCGGAGACGUCGAAGACCACGCCGUCGACGGCGACAUAGAUGGGCAAGGAGGGGUCGGUGCCGUUGUAGAGGGCGAGUUGUGCUGGUGUGAGUUCCAAGGGUCCGCGGAGAUAGGUUUUCACAACAGCCCAGCGGAGGAACUUGGGUUUAUAGCCCCAGAGCACAGAGUCGGUGGUGAUAUAGUAUGACAGCGCGCAGGAGGUGAGAACAAGCAAAAAUAUGACCCGGCAGAGAUCGAGGACACUGAUGGACCAUCUGCGUCCGGAUUGCCCUGCCUCGCCUGCAUCCUCCGCCUUGACUCUGUUCUUUGAGCCGGAAGACAGCUCCUCCUCGCUCCCUGACGAGGUGGGCGUGUAAUCUAUGUGGUCGUAUUCAUUUUCGCUCAUCCCACUCUUCGAUGAAGGAGGGGAUCCUUUGCCAGGGCGCUGGCGGAGAGCUGCCAUUGUUUGCGUUCCAAAUCGUUCUGUGCUUGGAGCGUCUGUAGCGCCGGUGGUAGCUAGCUCACACAGCUAGCUUCGCCAGCUAGCUUCAGUCCCAAUCGCUAUCACUCGAGCUUUGCGAACGAUGUCUGGCAUGUACUGUACAGUAGACAGGCUAUUUGCCGCGCUAGAGGGGUGUAUUAUUGUCUAUCUGUUGUUGAAGGGAGAAGAACGGUCCUGAACUUUAUUUAAGGUGUUUCCAUGCUUUGCUAACACUCGCUGUCAGAGGAACUUAGGUUUCUUAGACAUCCUGAAGGUCUUGAUGUUCUGUGAACUAGCUCUGUAGCACACGGUAUAGCAAAGUCUUUGGAGGUAUGAGAAAGGAGUGAGUCUGUGUGGUCGGGCAUUCUUCUUGGAAGAACAGAGUCUUCCAUCAAGUUCCCCUACGGUGAUAAUCUACCCUUCCGCAAACCUCUCUGUCUCGUACUUUUCUUACCCACUGCAAGGGAGCUCUGACAAUUCAAGGUCUGGAAAAGGCUCCUAGACCUUCACGGGAGGGCGCUGUCCCAAGAUAUCCUCGAGGCUCUUCACCGUCGCCCUUUGUUACCAGCAUUUAGUACCGCCCGAGCCAGGACUACUAUAGUGAUACUUUCAACAUCCUCCCUUAGGCGUACUCGACAUACUCCGCAUAGACCCACUACACACCCAGUCCCCAAUACCCGUUCUAUUUCUGCCUUUGACAAGGAUAUUCCAUGGAAAGAGGCCGCCGUGAUGUGAGAACAAACUUCGACUGACGACGGUUCCUCCGUGAUUCUCCUCAGGAAAUUGGAAUGCUCUAUGAACUUGAUCCCAAUACCUUCGUAGGGGUAGCGCGAAGGCUUGCGAUUGACACGUCCAAUCCCAAUAUAUAGGGGCUGCGUGCAUGAUGUAACGGGCCUUAAAUGACCUGCAAGCCCUUCUCUGAUUGACACACCGCUAUUGUUCAUCCAACGUUGGCCAGAUAUUGUCAACUGGAUCGCCGAGCACAAAGUCGGCAGCCAUUGCGUGAUUCGUCAGCCUAUGCCUGACACCUCUUUGGUUUGAGCAUGGAGAUAUGCUCUUGAAAAAUGUGUUAUAUUCAUCUAGGCCCCUGAAUUUAUUGUCAAUAACCUCAAUAAUCCGGGCGAUUAUAUUAUACACAUAGUAUAUAUGUUAUAUAUAUAUAUAUAUAGUCUCCUGGUCAAUACAUUAUGAUGCAACAAGUGAAACGGCUUCUGCCAUUUUUCCACUUUCGGAGCUGCAUUGAGGUUUUUAAAACCUAUCCCAAACUACUAGUACCCCCUGUCUCCCAGUUAUACCAUCCCAUUAGUGUGAAAAACAUCAGUAAAUAAAGGCCACCCCAUGGAGCAAUUAUCUCACUCGACAAAAGUCAUACAAGGAGCGCAAAAGCAACGAGAAGGGGGAAACUGGUAGAAGGUGUCAAUCGGCAUAACUAAUUAGACAAUGGAAGGCAAGUGCCCAAAAGCCCCCUAUCGGACCGGUUGAAUCACAUAAUGAAUGCAUGCGUGAAGGAGGGGUAUGUUCUGUCGAGGGCAAAUUCUUUUUUCCUUUA